rnacentral:lncRNA from 1 species
AUAAAUAAAUAGAAAAGAAAAGAAAACAAAUCCAUUUACAAUAGCAUUAAAAAGGAUAAAAUACUAAGGAAUAAACUUCCUUGUGGGCAUAAGGAAUAAACAAAAGAAGUGUAAGACUUAUAUACUGAAAACUGUAAAACAUUGUUGAAAGAAAUUAAAGAUGAUCUAAAUAAAUAGAAAAACAUCCUAUUUCAUGGGGGCUGGAACACUUAUUAUUAUUGAGAUGGCAAUACUCUGCACAUUGAAUUACAGAUUCACAGCAAAUCCUGCCAAAAUCCCAGCGGCCAUUUUUUUUUUUUUUUUUUUUUUUGAGAUGGAGUCUUGCUUUGUUGCCCAGGCUGGAGUACAGUGGUGCAAUCUCGGCUCACUGUAAACUCCGCCUCCCACCUUCACGCCAUUUUCCUGCCUCAGUCUCCCGAGUAGCUGGGACUACAGGCACCUGCCACCACGCCCGGCUAAUUUUUUUUGUAUUUUUAGUAGAGACGAGGUUUCCCCCUGUUAGCCAGGAUGGUCUCCAUCUCCUGACCUCGUGAUCCACCCACCUCGGCCUCCCAAAGUGCUGGGAUUACAGGCGUGAGCCACUGCGCCCAGCCUGCCUUUUUUUUUUUUUUUUUUUUUUAAACAGCUAUUGACUAGCUGAUGCUAAAAUUAAUAUGGGCCUGGGCGUGUGGCUCAUGCCUGUAAUCCUAGUACUUUGAGAGGCCGAGGAGGGUGGAUCACUUGAGGUCAAGAGUUCGAGACCAGCCUGGCCAACAUGGUGAAAUCCCACCACUACCAAAAAUACAAAAAUUAACCAGGCAUGGUGGCAUGUUCCUGUAAUCCCAGCUACUCAGGAGGCUGAGGCAGGAGAAUCACUUGAACCCAAGAGGUGGAGGUUGCAGUGACCCGAGAUCGUGCAACUAUACUCCAGCCUGGAGGACAGAGUGAGACUCCGUCUCAAAAAAAUAAGAUAAAAUAAAAUAAAAAUGGAAAUGCGAGGGGCCUAGAAUAUACAAAACAAUUUUGAAAAAGAAUAAAGUUGGAGGACUCACACUUCCAAAUUUCAAAAUCUUACUACAAAGCUAUAGUAAUUAAGACUUUGUGGCACUAGCGUAAGGACAGAUACAGAGGUCAAUAGAAUAGAACUAAGAGUCCAGAAUAAACCCACAUAUUUUUGGUCAAUUGAUUUUUUAUAAGGGUGCCAAGGCAAUUGGAUGGGGGAAAGAUUCUUUUCAACAAAUGGUGCAGGGAAAACUGGUUAUCCACAUGCAAAAGAAUGAAUCUGAAUCCCUACAACACACCAUAUACAAAAUUAGCUCAAAAUGGACCAAAGACCAAAAGUAAGAGUUAAGAUUAUAAAACUCUUAAGAGAAAACAUAGGUGUAAAUUUCUGUGAAAUUGGAUUACGCAAGGUCUUCUUAGAUACAAUGCCAAAGCACAGGCAACAAAAGAAAAUAUAAAUUGGACUGCAUCAAAAUUUUUAAAAACUUGAAUGCUUCAAAGAACACCAUCAUGAAAGUGAAAAGGCAACACACAGAACAGGAGAAAUAUGUUUAAAUCAUAUACUUGCAUCUCGAAUAAAGAACCCUGCAACUCAACAAUAAUAGUAAUAAUAGUAAAGCAACCUGAUUUAAAAAUGGGCUAAGGGGCUGGGAACGGUGACUUAUACCUGUAAUCCCAGCACUUUGGGAGGCCAAGGUGGGUGGAUUGCUUGAGGCCAGGAAUUCGGGACCAGCCUGGGAAACAUGGCGAAACCCCAAUUCUACAGAAAUUAGCCAGGUGUGGUGGUGUUCAUCUGUAGUCCCAGCUACUUGGGAAGCUGAAAAGGGAGGAUCGCUUGAGCCCGGGAUGGGAAGGUUGCAGUGAGCUGAGAUCGCACCACUGCACUCCAGCCUGGGCAACACAGCAAGACCCUGUCUCAAAAAAGCAAAUGGUCUAAGGACUUAAAAGAGAUAUUUCUCUGAGGAAGAUACAAAAAUGGCCAGUAACCACAUGAAAGAAUUCUCAACAUCAUUAGACAUCAGGGAAAUUCAAAUGAAAACCACAAAGAGAUACUACACACUUGCUAGGAUGGCAAUAAUCAAAGAGGCAGAUAAUAACAAGUGUUGUCAAGAAUAUUGAGAAACUGGGACCCUCAUACAUUGCUGGUGGUAAUAUAAAGUGGUGCAGCUGCCGUGGAAAUCAGUCUGGCAAUUCUUCAAAAGGUUAAACAUGGAGUUACCAUAUGAACCAGUCAUUCCACUUCUGUGUACAUGCCCAAGAGAACUAAAAACAUGUCCACACAAAAACUUGUGAGUGUUCACAGCAACAUUAUUCACAGUAGCCAAAAAGUGGAAAUAACCCAAAUGUCCAUCAACUGAUGAGAAGAUAAAAUAUGGUGUAUCUAUAUAAUGGAUUAUUAUUUAGCCAUAAAAAGGAAUGAAGUACUGAUACAUUCUACAACAUCGAUGAACUUUGGAAAUAUGCUAUGUCAAAGAAGCUGGACACAAAAGGCCACAUAUUGUAUGACUGCAUUUAUAUGAAAUGUCCAGAACAGGUAAACCUUGUAGGGACAAAAAGUAGAUUAGUGGUUGCCAGGGGCUGGAGGAUGAUGACCGGUAGGAGUGACUGCUAAUGAGUAUGGGGUCUCUUUCAGGUGAUAAACAUGUUUUAAAUUGUAGUGAUACUUGCACAACUCUGUGGAUGUAAUUUUAAAAAACACUGAAUUGUGUACUUUAAAUGGGUAAAUUGUAUGGUAUGUGAAUUAUAUCUCAAUAAAAAGGAAAAACAAAGCAAAAAAAAAGAACAUUGGAAAAGUUUUAAAAUGCUAUGCACAGAGGCAAAAUCUUAGAACUUAGCCACGACUCCCAUUAGGAGAUGAACAAACAUAGAUACACUGUUUUUAGACAGUGACCAUUAAGUGCUUAGAAAAAAAAAAAAAAGAUAAAUAAAGCACUCUUACUCACCAACUCCCAAGACAGGGGUAUAGCCUUGUUACACAAACCCACUCCCCACCCACAACCAACUUUUACUCCUUUCCUCUCCUUGUCUUUUGAUAGCUGAACUAGUGUACUGUUAGAACAAGACUGAGACUAAAGGUAGCCCAACAUUUUGGAGAUCAGAAGCCCAAGACAUAUGUCUAAUUAUCAAUGUUUUGAAGAGUUUGGAAAUUCCUAUUAAUCCAUUAUAUCACUCAGGUUCUUCAUCUCAGAGAAAGCUAAUAUCUCAUGGAACAAACCUGCACAUGUACCCCCUGAACCUAAAAGUUAGAAGAAAAAAAGAUACGAAAUAGUUUUUUAAAAAUGUGCGUUCUUAUUAUCAUGACUUAUCUAGUUUCUUAAUUAGAGUCAUCUCUAGUUCUAGGAUGAUGUGUUGUUGGUCAAGGUUCCAAGGACAUUACUACCACUGCUGCUUUCUGUUUCACUUUUGAAAAUAUAUAAUAUUUUGAUAGGCAGCCAAAUCAUAUAAAUACGGUAACAAUAACAAUCCCAUCUAUAUACAUGAUGCCAGUGGUGACAACUGGUUACUAGGAAAAUUUCCAUGGAAUUUCUUAUUUUCUCUAUGGUUUUUCACCGUAGUGAUAAACUAACACUACCAAGGGUGACUUAAUCACAUUUCACAGUAUGUCCAAAGACUAUCAAAACAACAACUUCUAGGGGAAAUUGGACUCAAGCUUAACUGCAAAACAAUCAGUAUAGGAGAAAUGUAUUCUUUGGUGUUAAUUAAUUUGUAGAGGACAAAUCACUUCAAGAAAUCAUUAAACUAUAUACACUUUAAUGCCUAAUACAUGUAGUGUUUAAAAAACAGAUUUACCUAGCUUUCUCUGUUCGAGCCCACCUUGUUCUCUACAGCUUGCUACCUUUAGUCUGAGAGUUGGAAAAAUAAAUCUAGUGAGCUUGUGCCAUGACAUGGCAAACUCCCUGGCCACAGGACACAAAAUUAUCUUUCACAUUUCUUUUUUUUUUUCCCUUGGCCAUCCAAUGAGUCUUACCUAGUCCUUCCAUAUAUGUCUCUGGGACUCGUCCUUUCUUCUCCAUUCUUGUCAUAUCACUCACAUCUAGAGGUUUAUUGAAUUUAGUUUAUUGCAAUAUCUAUGUAACUGGUUUCCUAAUUUCCAUGUCUCUCUACCUCAAAUACAUCUGGCAGCAAUAUAAAAGAUUAAAUUUCUAAAAAUAACAUUUAAUUAAGUAAUCUGUUUAAAAACCUUGGCUAGCUCUCUCAUGCCUAUUGAGUAAACUCCAAAUACCAUUAGCCUGGUAUUCAGCGCCUUCCAAAAUCUCAGUCCGAAUGUAUUUUAUUUCUUUUUUCUUUCUUUUUGUUGUUGUUGUUGUUGUUGUUGUUGACAGAAUCUCACUCUGCCACCCAGGCUGGAGUGCAAUGGCAUGAUCUAGGCUCACUACAACCUCCACCUCCCGGGUUCAAGCGAUUCUUGUGCCUCAGCCUCCCAAGUAGCUGGGAUUACAGGUGUGUACCACCAUGCCUGGCUAACUUUUUUUUGUAUUUUUAUUAGAGACAGUGUUUUACCAUGUUGGCCAAGCUGGUCUUGAACUCCUGGGCUCAAGUGAUCUGCCUGUCUCAGCCUCCCAAAGUGCUGGGAUUACAGGCAUGAGCCACCACGCCCAGCCUGUAUUUUCUAGAUUUAUCAUCUACCACCUCUUGGACAAAACUGGUCUCCUUACUAUCCCCUGAACCUCCACAAAUUCUUUUUGCACCUUUGCUUAUGGUGUUCCUCCUGCCUAGAAUACCCCUCUCCAUUUUUGGAAGCCUGUUCAAAGCUUAACUUUUCUUCACUAAACCCUCCCUGAACAUUUACAAUUCACAGUGAUCUCUUUCUUUGAAUGUGAUUUGAGUUAUGAAUGCUGUCGUUCAUUUGGCAAUACUCACAUAUGACUUCUCCUGUCUUACAUUGUUAAUUCUUGUACUAUUUAAUUUUGUGCGUCUUGCUUUCUCAACUAGACUGCGAGAUCCUUGGCAAUAGGGGCCAUUUAUUACAUUAAAAAAUCUACCCACAGUGCAUAUUGCUGUGCUAGGGGCUUUGACAGGGACUAGUUACAGACAGAAGAGUGCUGGAGUCUCCUCAAGAUGCCAAACUCUCAGAAUGCAGCAUUUACUAGAGGUGAUGAUUCCUCACACAUACAUAUCAAAUAUAAUCACUUUAAAGGUGAAACUAACUCUACAGGUUACUCUAAGAUAUUAAGGAAUUACAAACUGCCUUGGAAAUACUUGUAAAAGUCCCCUAUUAAAAUACAAAAUUAACUUUUAAUAAAUAAGUUCAUGCUCUCCUGAAAGCUUAAAAAUGACAUAUAAAGAAAAAAUGGGCUGGACGCGGUGGCUCACCCUAAGCUUCGUAUAUUUGUAAAUAUAUCCUUUCCUUUUGAAAUUUUCUGUGAAAUAAUGCUUUUGGUUCCUUUAGCCCAGCCUUGACUACUAAUUGGCAAGGAUUCAAAUGAUCUCCCCAAUUUUAAAUAUCCGUGUAUUACGGAAAUGUUAUCAAUUUUCUUCUCCUCCUACCAAGGAUUAGUAUGAUAAUGAAUUGAGCUUCUUGUCAAGAAAAAUGCUAAGUUCAAAGUAUUAUUUCUUUCACUUCUAAUUACAAAUAAGUUUUACCUUUUAUUGUAUUCCAUUAUACAAUUU